UGACAUGCAGCUUAUGUGGUGUGCCAGACCACAACAAAAGGGGCUGCAAAAAUGCCUCCUAAGCAACCACAACACAACAACAAUCAUACUACUGCAGAACAAACCACAACACAAUAACAACACUCAACGACCAAUUCUGAUAUCCCUAGCUAUGCACAAUAGGAUUGUAGGUAUUUUUACCUACCCUAAUGGGUAUCAAAGAAUAGCUAAUAGACAAAGAGCUACAACUUUCUAUUCUGAUCAUGGGGGUGAUCAAACCAUCUACUCCAUUCCUGCACAAGAUUUUCCAUUGUCACAAACUCAACCAAGUCAAGGACAACACACAAUAUCAAGCAAGCAUUACAUGAUCUUGCAAUGGCUAGAAGAUUGAAAAAGAGACCAUGAGAGAAGGGUCAGCUAUGGUGAAGCAACAGAGAUGAUGAUGGAGAACAUAUUUUUUUUUGUUUUUUUUUUGGAAGAGUUAAAUUAUUUCUGUGCAAAUAGACAAUUAAAUACUCUGUUUUUUGAGAGGUUCAACGACUAGUUUUUAGUAUAAAGCUAACUAAAAUGGAUUUGCCUUUAUUGUAUAAUUGUUUUCAAGUAAAAGUAACAGUUUCUUUGUCGUUUUCUGUCUUUUAUUUUAAUUUUCCUUAAAAUUUAAUGCUUUUAAACGGACGUUAGUAACAGCGAAAGGCAAGAAGCAGUUGAUUCCAUCCAUUUUGAGAGACU